rnacentral:tRNA from 1 species
GGGAAGGUAACUCAGUGGUAGAGUGCUUGCCUUGCAUGCAUGAGGCCCCGGGUUCGAUUCCUCAGCACCA